UCCCCCUCCCCCAGGCUACAAGCCAGUUUUGCUAGAGAAACAUUGCUGCAUGAAGUAGCCGCAAACUACGAUCUAUGUGAAGCCGUGUCAUUGUGUUCUUUCCUUUGAGUAGACGUGCUGUCAGAUCAUUAAUUCUAUCGUGUAUUUGUUAUUAGACGAAAAGAAUGGGUGAUUGUGAAGAUAAAACGGAUUAUGCAGUGUGUGCCAUUAUAUUAGCGUCGCAGGAAAAAGAAGAGGAAAACAAAUGGCGUAGAAAGCGGGGGCCUACCAGAAGAUGGAGAAAAAGGCGAGCACAAAAAGGAGCCUUCUUAAAUUUAAAUCAGGAGUUGAGAGGCGAGGAUCCAACUUCAUACAAGAGGUGGCUGCGUGUAACAGAAGAACAGUUUGACCAUCUUUUGCACGAAAUCUCUCCCCGAAUUCAGAAGCAAAAGACAAAGUUUGGGGAGCCAAUAUCUGCAGCUGAGAGGCUCACCAUUACGCUCCGGUAUCUAGCCACAGGAAAUACAUUCAGAGACUUAUCGUGGGAGUUUCGAAUUGGCGAAAGAACCGUAUCAUAUAUCAUCUUGGAAACAUGUGCAGCUUUGUAUGAAUUCUUGAAGUACACAUUUGAAGUGCCAACAUCAAAAGAGCAUUGGAGAGCUGUUUCCAAGCAAUUUCUAGAUCGGUGGAAUGUGCCACAUUGUUUGGGGGCCAUUGAUGGAAAACAUAUUGUGAUAAGGAAGCCGAUCAACAGUGGUUCCCAUUACCAGAAUUAUAAAGGAACAGAAUCUAUUGUCCUUUUAGCAGUUGUGGAUGCUAAUUAUAAAUUUCGGUACGUUGAAGUGCAGUAGGUAAGAAUUAAUUUAAUUAUACCAAGGGCUUAAAGCAUGUUCUUCAUUUUGAUUUUCUAGAUAUAUUGAUGUUGGCACACAAGGAAGGAUCAGCGAUGGAGGUGUGUGGAACAAAUGUAAUUUAAAAGAGCUUAUAGAUGUUAACACUCUUGACAUGCCCCCAGCCCAUCCACUUCCAGGUCAAGACAUACCCACUCCAUACGUCUUCUUAGCAGAUAACGCUUUUGGAUUAAAACCAUAUAUCCUCAAGCCGUACGGGGGAAAUGAUUUGACUCUGGAAGAACGGAUAUGCAAUUACAGAAUUUCACGUGGCCGCCAAGUUGUGGAGACAGCUUUUGGAAGUUUUGCUAAUAGAUUAAGAGUAUUUCUAAAUCCCAUCCUGCUACAGCCAGACAAAGUGCGCACAUUAGUACUUGCUGGUUGUGCACUUCACAACUUUUUAAGGAGCCAUGAAAGCACAGAAUCAUGGCCAGUCAAUUAUGUGGACAGAGAAGAUGUGGAAACUGGAACCACUUUGCCUGGUGCCUGGAGGACUGAGAUUCCUAUACAGCCCGGAACAGAUCUGCAUCUUCCACAAGUGGCCACCACCUACUCCAAUUAUUACAGCACAGAGGCCAAAGCUGUGAGGGAGAAUUUUAAAGCAUUUUUUACAUCUGAUGUUGGUGCGGUGUACUGGCAACAUCGUUUUGUAUAGCAGUUAUUUUAUAUAUUUUUUAAUGUAACUGUACAUAUUGAUAAUAAAACAAACCUUUAUUAAACAUAA